GACGAACGCUGGCGGCGUGCUUAACACAUGCAAGUCGAACGGAAAGGCCCUGCUUUUGUGGGGUGCUCGAGUGGCGAACGGGUGAGUAACACGUGAGUAACCUGCCCUUGACUUUGGGAUAACUUCAGGGAACUGGGGCUAAUACCGGAUAGGAGCUCCUGCUGCAUGGUGGGGGUUGGAAAGUUUCGGCGGUUGGGGAUGGACUCGCGGCUUAUCAGCUUGUUGGUGGGGUAGUGGCUUACCAAGGCUUUGACGGGUAGCCGGCCUGAGAGGGUGACCGGCCACAUUGGGACUGAGAUACGGCCCAGACUCCUACGGGAGGCAGCAGUGGGGAAUAUUGCACAAUGGGCGGAAGCCUGAUGCAGCAACGCCGCGUGCGGGAUGACGGCCUUCGGGUUGUAAACCGCUUUCGCCUGUGACGAAGCGUGAGUGGCGGUAAUGGGUAAAGAAGCACCGGCUAACUACGUG
rnacentral:rRNA from 1 species